ACAAGUGCUGGGAGGAGCCACAGGCACUGAGUGAGCCUUGGCCCAGGUUUCUUCUGAACCUGACACAGCACUCACUCUUGCAGAGGACCCGGGUUCGCAUUUGAGCCCUCACUAGGUAGCACCCAACCCUCCAGCACUCAGUUCCAAAGGACCCAUUACCCUCUUUGUCUGAUCCCCUCAGAAACCAGGCACACACCUAGUGCCCACACAAACACAUGGGAAAAAUACUUACAUACAUAUUAUUGCUUUGAAUAAGUUUGUCCCCCAUGGACUCAUGUCUAUGCUUGGCCCACAGGGAGUGGCACUAUUAGAAGGUGUGCCCUUGUUGGAGUAGGUGUGCCCUUGUUGGAGGAAUGUGUGUGUGUGGGGGGGGGGGUAGGCUUUGAGGUCCUGUGGUCAAUCUCCACCUAGUGUGGAUGGAACAGUCUCCUUCUGGCUGCCUUUGGAUCAAGAUGUGGAACUCUCUGCUCCUCCAGCACCAUGUCUGCCUGGACGCUGACAGGCUUCCCAUGAUGAUGAUGAUGGACUGGACCUCUGAACAAGUAAGCCAGCCCCAGACAUCAGCUCCCACUGGUUGGCUCUGAACCUAAGAGAGGAAGAAUACACAUCUGCAGCGCACAGCUCACAGCUCACAGUUCCUGGCAUGGGCUGAGCCAAGCUGUCCAGAUCCACUGUGAAGUCUUCAUUGAGCAAGUCAUUGUUUGCUGGCUCGUCUGUAUCUGGUUCAUGGGUAGGCUUGGCCAAGUACAGAGACUUCACACUUCCUGGCGUGAGAGCAUGGCUGCCCCCCCUCUACAGAGCACUCGAGAACAGAAGCACCCUCAUCCAUUCACUAGCAUCUGCUCCCCAGUGUCUGGAACACAACAGAUAUUCAAUUAAUGCUUGAUGAAGGGACCAAAGAGGCUUAUUCAGUCUGCCAACGUUGAAAGCAUCCAGGCUGAAUUUCAGAUAGCUACCCGACAACAUGGAAUUGUGAGAGGAACUUUUUGCUACUAUAAGGCUAGUUCCUCUACCCACAGGACACUCAAAAAUAAACAAGAAGCCUCUUGGUUUGAUGUGGCGUCACAUGCUUUUAAUCCCAGUUCAUGGGAGGCAGAGACAGGUGACUCAGUGAGUUCUCAGUCAGCCAAGACUAAAUAGUGAUACUUUGUCUCAAAGACAACAACAACAACAAACAAACAAACAAAAGCUCCAAACUAAAGCACUGUUCUUUCUUUACUGAGAUUGUUUGCUUCUCCAAGACACUCCCAGACAUGAGUUUACAAUUUUUAUAAGUUCAUUUUAUAUACUUUUGUUUUUAUAAAAGCUUUUUAUAAAAGGUGUUUUUGUAAAAGGUGAUUACAAAAGUCACAUUAAGUAUGCUGGAGUAUAUUCAUCUGCUGGAAUAUGUCUUCAGCCACACAUAUUUCCUUUGGAAAUAAUCCUGAGCUAGAGAAUCCUCCUCUGCAAACAUCUCUUUUGCAAACCCACUUAUUUUGGCCCUUCUUGAGAUAUCAGUCAUCGAGUUCAGUUUAAAAAAAAAAAUACGUGUUUGGGGCUCACAUUACAGUCCCAGCUCUAGUUUGUCUUGUACUCAUGACCCAAGACAGUGUAUGCCAGGGAUAACUGGUACCAGAUACAGCUUUGUUAGAAAUGCACACCUCUUCUGGUGUGUUUGAAGAGAGUGACAAUGUACAUAAAAUAAAUCUUUUUUAAAAAAACAAAGAAAUGUUGGUUUUAAGGCUUCUCUAUCGCCUAAUCCCACCACUUCCUCUGUGUCUGGAUGGUGUCAGAAGUGUGGUCUGGUCUGCGACAUCAACUUUCUUAUUUUCCAAGUUAAUUUGGGUCAUUUUUUCUUCCAUCCAUUAUCCAUCCACCCAUCAUCCAUCCAUCAACCAUCCAAUAACAAUUUUGACUGUUUACUAUGUAUCAAAGUUCAAGGAUAAUUAAAAAAAACUGCAUAAGAUCCUUGAAGAAACUUACAGAUAGCUAGGCAGAGUAUAAUGUGAUAACUCUUUGAGUCAGGAACAAGGGACAGCAAGAGAUAAGAGAAGGCCGAAGACUCUAUAUUACAGGCCUGUUUUUCCCUGAAGAACUCGUGGUUGAAGUUAGAUGCAGAGACUAGACGUGUGAGUUAGCACAGGACAGCCCCAUUGAUGGCUGGUGUGCACGAGCCCAUGCCAUUUAGAAUUUAUUCCAAACAGUCUAGACGUAUGCAACUUUAUUCUUUCAGCCUCUGGACAUGGACUAGCCUGGAAGCUGGUGAGAUGUAUGUGUGCAGUGAAUGAGGUGACUGCCUAAACUUGUGAUUAAUAAGCAGAGACCUUUAAGUCAAGAUACAAUGUAAGCCCUGCUGCCAUUUGCACCAGGGAGCCGGGAAACUGCACAGCCUUCUGUGCAUAGCCCACCAGAAGAAGAGAGACCUCCCAGCAGUGCCUUCACUUUUGAACUCAGAGGAGUAAGGACACAGGCUUAUAGGCCCACAGGAGCAACAAACUCCAGCCAGAGACAACAAUACCAACUAGCACCAGAGAUAAUCAGAUGGAGAAAGGCAAGCACAAGAACCCUACCAACAGAAACCAAGACCACACGGCAACAUCAGAACCCAGUUCUCCUACCACAGCAAGUCCCGGAUACCCCCAACACACCAGAAAAGCAAGAGUUGGAUUUAAAAUCGCAUCUCAUGAUGCUGAUAGAGGGCUUCAAGAAAGACUUAAAUAACUCCCUUAAAGAAAUACAGGAGAACAUCAGUCAACAGGUAAAAGUCCUUAAAGAGGAAACACAAAAAUCCCUUAAAGAAAUACAGGAGAUCAUGGGUCAACAGGUAGAAGCCCUUAAAGAAGAAACACAAAAAUCCCUUAAAGAAUUACAGGAAAACACAAACUCCACAGGAUCUAAAAGUUGAAGUAGACACAAUAAAGAAAUCACAAAGCCAGACAUCUCUGGAGAUAGAAAACCAUGGAAAGAAUUCAGGAGUCGUAGAUGCACAUAGAUCAACAACAGAAUAUAAGAGAUAGAAGAAAGAACCUCAGGUGCUGAAGAUAUCAUAGGAAACAUUGACUCAACUGUCAAAGAAAGUGCAAAAUGCAUAAAGCUGGUAACCCAAAACAUCCAGGAACUCCAGGACAAAAUGAGAAGACCAAACCUAAGCAUUAUAGGUAUAGAAGAGAGUGAGGAUUUAUACCUUAAAGGCCCAGUAAAUAUCUUCAACAAAACUGUAGAAAAAAACUUCCCUAACCUAGAGAAAUAGAUGCCUAUGAACAUGUAAGAAGCCUUCAGAACUCCAAACAGACCAGACCAGAACAGAAAAUCCACCCCACAAAUAAUAAUCAAAACACCAAAUUCACUAAACAAAGAAAGAAUAUUAAAAGCAGUAAGGGAAAAAGGGCAAAUAACUUAUAAAGGCAGACCUAUCAGAAUCGCACCAGACUUCUCACCAGAGACGAUGAAAGCUAGAAGAUCCUGGGCAGACCUCAUAUAGAUCCUAAGAGAACACAAAUGCCAGCCCAGGCUACUAUACCCAGCAAAACUCUCCAUCAUCUUAGAUGAAGAAACCAAGAUAUUCAAUGAUAAAACCAAAUUUACACAAUAUCUGUUCACAAAUCCAGCCCUACAAAGGAUAAUUGAUGGAAAAUGCCAAUACAAGGAGGGAAACUACACCCUAGAAAAAGCAAGAAAGUAAUCUUCUUCCAACAAACCCAAAAGAAGAUACCCACACAAACAUAAAAAUAACAUCAAAAAUAACAGGAAGCAACAAUCACUAUUCCAUAAUAUCUCUUAACAAUGGACUCAAGUCCCCAAUAAAAAGACAUAGACUAACAGAAAUAUUUUUCAUGUAAAUCUUCAAUUUUAUCAGAAAAUGUUUAUAAUUCCCCUUUUAAUUAAUUUAGUAAUUUUUUAUGCCUGCCAUUUUAUCUGCAUUAUUUUUCAUGAUAAUCUUCAAUUUUAAUAUGUCUUUCUAUAUACUUCCUCUAUUUUAUCAGAAAUGUUUUCAAUGUAAAUCUUUGAUUUUAUCACAAAUGUUUCUAAUUCCAUCUUCAAUUAAUAUAGAAACAGUUUUUAUAUCUACCAUUUUAUAUGUAAAAUUUUCCUUGAAAUAGUCAAUUUUAACAUGUUUGUCUAUUUAUUUCUUGAAUUUUACCAGAAGUAUUUUCCAUGUAAAUCUUCAUUGUUAUCUGAAAAUGUUUAUAAUUCCACCUUCAAUCAACUUAGAAUUAUCUUUAUGCCUAUCAUUUUAUCUAUAUAAUUUCCAUAAUGAUCUUUAAUUUUAACAUGUUUUUCUAUAUAUCUCUUCAAUUUUAUCAGAAAUAUUUUCCAUGUAAAUCUUCAAGUUUACCAGAAAAUGUUUAUAAUUCCACUUUCAAUCAACUUACGAAUAUUUUUAUACCUACCAUUAUUAUAUCUAUAUAAAAUUUUCCAUGAUAAUCUUCAAUUCAAUUCUCUCUCUCUCUCUCUCUCUCUCUCUCUCUCUCUCUUUUCCGAGAAAGGGUUUCUCUGUGUAGCCCUGGCUGUCCUGGAACUCACUCUGUAGACCAGGCUGGCCUCGAAUGAUAAUCUUUAAUUCUAACAUGUUUUUUCCACAUCUUUCCUACAAUUUUAUCAGAAAUAUUUUCCACGUAAAUCUUAAUUCUAUCAUAAAAUGUUUCUAUCCCAUAUUUCAAUUAAUUUAGCAAUAUUUUACAUGUCUACUACUUUACUCUUUAAUUUUCCAUGAAAAUUGUCAAUUUUAAUGUGUUUCUCUGAAGUAUUUUCCAUGUAAAUCUUUAAUUUUAUCGUAAAGUGUUUUUAUUUCCCUUUACUUCCCUUUUCAAUAAAUAAAAAAAAAUUUAAAAAAGGAAAAAAAAAGACACAAUAUAAGGUAUCCCUGUGACACUUGGUUGACGCCAUCCCACAAGGGAGCAACAGGGACGUUACCGACCGUGUGAACACUGGAGAUGUAAAGAAGCAGAACAUUUGAACUUAGGAGAAGUCUGUGAGUGAGCACUGUGUCCCGACUGUGGUUUUGGCUCCUACAGAAGGUCCCUUAUAUAUCCUCCUGGGAGUGUGCCUUCCUUGAGAUUAAGUGGAGCUGGGUUUGUGGUGGCACACACUGGAAGGCCUAGUACUCAUCAGUCAGGGGUAGGAGGAUCUCUGUGAGUCCAAGGCCAGCCAGAGUGAGAUUCUGAGAUUCUGUUCUCCAGAAAUUAGGAAAUAAAUGGAUUCACUUUUGUUUUUA